AUACGUAGGGGGCGAGCGUUGUCCGGAAUGAUUGGGCGUAAAGGGCGCGUAGGCUGCACGGUAAGUCUGGCGUGAAAGCCCGCGGCUCCACAGCGGGCCUGCAUUGGUAACUGGUCAUCUGGAGAGCAGGAGGGGUAAGCGGACUUCCCAGUGUCACAGUGAAAAGAGUAGAGAUAGGGAGGAACACCUGUGGUGAAGGCGACUUACUGGACUGUAACUGACGCUGAGGCGCGAAAGUGUGGUGAGCAAACAGGAUUAGAUACCCUGGUAGUCCACACUGUAAACGAUGAAUGCUAGGUGUAGGGGGUAUCGACCCCUUCUGUGCCGCAGUCAACACAAUAAGCAUUCCGCCUGGGGAGUACGGCCGCAAGGUUGAAACUCAAAGGAAUUGGCGGGG
rnacentral:rRNA from 1 species